AUCAAAUGAAGAAAACGUUACGGUGGAUACCUAGGCAUCUAGAGACGAUGAAGGGCGUGGAAACCAACGAAAUGCUUCGAGGAGCUGGAAACAAGCUAUGAUUCGGAGAUUCCCGAAUAGGGCAACCUUUUAUACUACCUAUUGAAUUCAUAGAUAGGAAAGAGACAACCCAGUGAAGGAAACAUCUUAGUAGCUGGAGGAAAAGAAAGCAAACGCGAUUCCCUUAGUAGCGGCGAGCGAAAUCCCAACAGCCUAAACCAACUCGAUUUUUUCGAGUCGGGGUUGUGGGAAGAAAUGCUAUGAAGAAUUUACUUAACUAGGUGAAGCAGCUGAAUCCUGCACCAUAGAUGGUGAAACUCCAGUAGCCGAAAGUUCAGUGAUAUCUAAAUUUCUUAUCCCGAGUAGCUAGGGGCACGUGAAAUCCCGUGUGAAUGAGCGAGGACCACCUCGUAAGGCUAAAUACUCCUAGGUGACCGAUAGUGAAAUAGUACCGCGAGGGAAAGGUGAAAAAGAACCCUGUAGGGGAGUGAAACAGAACAUGAAACCGUAAGCUGUCAAGCAGUGGGAGGGCGAAAAGCCUGACCGCGUGCCUGUUGAAGAAUGAGCCGGCGACUUAUAGGGAGUGGCGUGGUUAAAGAAAAUCAUCUGAAGCCAAAGCGAAAGCAAGUCUUAAUAUUUCGCUAAUGUCACUUCUUAUCCACCCGAACCCGGGUGAUCUAACCAUGGCCAGGAUGAAGCUUGGGUAAAACCAAGUGGAGGUCCGAACCGACCGAUGUUGAAAAAUCGGCGGAUGAGCUGUGGUUAGGGGUGAAAUGCCAAUCGAACUCGAGCUAGCUGUUCUCCCCGUAAAUGCGUUGAGCGCAGCGGUUGAUGACUUGGGCUAUCUAGGGGUAAAGCACUGUUUCGGUGCGGGCUGCGAGAGCGGUACCAAAUCGUAGCAAACUAAGAAUACUAGGUAUGCUUUCCAUCAACCAGUGAGACGGUGGGGGAUAAGCUUCAUCGUCGAGAGGGAAACACCCAGAUCACCAGCUAAGGCCCCUAAAUGGCCGCUAAGUGGCAAAGGAGGUAAGAAUCGUGAAACACCAGGAGGUUUGCUUAGAAGCAGCCACCCUUAAAAGAGUGCGUAAUAGCUCACUGGUGGAGCGUUCUUGCGCCGAAAAUGAACGGGACUAAGCGGUCUGCCGAAGCUGUGGGAUUUUUUACAUAGAAGACUUGAAGCUUUGCUUCAAGAUCUAAGUGUAACGCAGAAGACUUCCACAAAGUGGAAGAUCCUAAUAAAACCGUAGGUUUUAUUUUGGACUUUUUUUCGUCAAGAACUAAUUAGUUCUUCACCAUUUAACUUCUGCCUUGCAGAAGUCAAACAAUGGAGAGGCGCCUUCGCUACGUUACACAAAGAUUUUUGUCAGAAGACUUUUUUUCCUGACCAUGGGUUUACUUCGUUAAAAAUCGGUAGGGGAGCGUUCCGCUCUAGGGUGAAGCAUAAACGCAAGUUAAUGUGGACAAAGCGGAAGUGAGAAUGUCGGCUUGAGUAACGCAAACAUUGGUGAGAAUCCAAUGCCCCAAAACCUAAGGAUUGGAGGACUAGGCUCGUCCAUGGAGGAUGAGUCAGGACCUAAGGCAAGGCCGAAAGGCGUAGUCGAUGGAAAACAGGUUAAUAUUCCUGUACUAAUUCUUGAUUGUACCGAUUUACGAAGAAAGCAAAGGUUAAUCAAAAUUGGAUUUUUGGUGGAAACGUUCGAGGUGUCGAGAGGUAGAAUAAAAACUAACCUUGUUUUGAUCUUUGAUCAAAGCCUGCACAACUUCGUUGUGUUGGAGCUGAGACGUGGAUACGCAUUCAUUCCCUGCUUGGGUCACUCUAAGCAUAGUGGAAACUUAACUAGUUGUUAAACUUCCUAGAAAAGCUCGAACUACUAAUAAUUAAGAAUUACCUGUACCCCAAACCGACACAGGUAGGUGGGUAGAGUAUACCUAGGGGCGCGAGAUAACUCUCUCUAAGGAACUCGGCAAAAUGGCCCCGUAACUCGGGAGAAGGGGUGCCUCUAGAAAUAGAGGCCGCAGUGUCCAGCCCAGCGACUGUUUACCAAAAACACAGGUCUCCGCUAAGUCGCAAGACAAUAUAUGGGGGCUGACGCCUGCCCAGUGCCGGAAGGUGAAGGAAGUUGGUUAUUUGACCCAGGUUAGAAAAGCUGACAACCGAAGCCCCGGUGAAGGCGGCCGUAACUAUAACGGUGCUAAGGUAGCGAAAUUCCUUGUCGGGUAAGUUCCGACCCGCACGAAAGGCGUAACGAUCUGGGCACUGUCUCGGAGAGAGGCUCGGUGAAAUAGACAUGUCCGUGGAAGAUGAGGACUUCCUGCACCUGGACAGAAAGACCCUAUGAAGCUUGACUGUAGCCUGGAAUUGAAUUCGGGCUUUCUUGCGCAGCUAGGUGGGAGGCGUUGAUAAUUCUCUUCCGGGAGAGUUGGAGCCAUCAGUGAGAGAACCACUCUGGAGAAGCUAGAAUUCUAAUGGCGAUCCUUGAAUCAGGACGUUUGACAGUUUCAGGUGGGCAGUUUGACUGGGGCGGUCGCUCCUAAACAGUAACGGAGGCGUGCAAAGGUUCCCUCAGGCUGGACGGAAAUCAGCCGAAGAGUGUAAAGGCAAAAGGGAGCUUGACUGCAAGACCUACAAGUCGAGCAGGGGCGAAACGGGCCUUAGUGAUCCGACGGUACCGAGUGGAAGGGCCGUCGCUCAACGGAUAAAAGUUACUCUAGGGAUAACAGGCUGAUCUUCCCCAAGAGUUCACAUCGACGGGAAGGUUUGGCACCUCGAUGUCGGCUCAUCGCAACCUGGAGCGGUAGUACGUUCCCAAGGGUUGGGCUGUUCGCAUGAAAGCGGUACGUGAGCUGGGUUCAGAACGUCGUGAGCAAGUUCGGUCCAUAUCCGGUGUAGGCGUAAGAGCAUUGAGAGGAGUCUUCCAUUGUACGAGAGGACCUGGAAGAACGCACCACUAGUAUACCAGUUCUCCUGCCAAGGGGAUACGCUGGGUAGCCAAGUGCGGAGCGGAUAACUGCUGAAAGCAUCUAAGUAGGAAGCCCACCUCAAGAUGAGUGCUCUCGUUUAGUUUUUACUAAACAAAGGUCACAGUAAGACUAACUGUUCGAUAGCUAUCAAGUGUAAGGCUAGUAAUAGUUGCAGCUGAGAUAGACUAACAGACCGUAAUGAAUUUU
rnacentral:rRNA from 1 species